rnacentral:RNase_P_RNA from 2 species
UCGGGAUACCGGACAGUCGCGCUUUCCCGCAAGGGAAGGUGAGGAAAUUCGGAACACCCACUGUUCAUUGAGCAGUCAAAAAGGUACGGGCUAACGGCCCGCCGCGGUAACGCGAGAGAUGCGAAAAGAGACGCCAAUGCCGAAAGGCUAGGGUCCCCGCGAGGGGGUAGUCCUGCGGCAACGCAGGGGUGCAACGGCAAAACUCUUACCGGGUGCAAGGUCGUGCCUCGUCGCAAGACGGGGAGUGCCGCAAGAGCCGCGCGGUAACGCGCGGCCCAGAGAAAUGGCUGUCGGCCGGCUUAGGCCGGCGCACAGAAUUCCGGUUAUAGAUAUCCUGGCGCA